rnacentral:rRNA from 1 species
CUGGCUCAGGAUGAACGCUGGCGGUCUGCUUACACAUGCAAGUCGAAGCAACCUUCGGGUUGAGUGGCGGACGGGUGAGUAACGCGUGAGAAUCUGCCUUGGGGUCGGGGACAACCACUGGAAACGGUGGCUAAUACCGGAUAAGCCUUUGGGUAAAAGAUUUAUUGCCCCAAGAGGAGCUCGCGUCUGAUUAGCUAGUUGGUGAGGUAAAAGCUCACCAAGGCAGCGAUCAGUAGCUGGUCUGAGAGGACGAUCAGCCACACUGGGACUGAGACACGGCCCAGACUCCUACGGGAGGCAGCAGUGGGGAAUUUUCCGCAAUGGGCGAAAGCCUGACGGAGCAAGACCGCGUGAGGGAGGAAGGCUCUUGGGUUGUAAACCUCUUUUCUCAGGGAAGAAGCUCUGACGGUACCUGAGGAAUCAGCCUCGGCUAACUCCGUGCCAGCAGCCGCGGUAAUACGGAGGAGGCAAGCGUUAUCCGGAAUUAUUGGGCGUAAAGCGUCCGCAGGUGGCGAUUCAAGUCUGCUGUCAAAGCACGGGGCUUAACUCCGUUAAGGCAGUGGAAACUGAAUAGCUAGAGUGCCGUAGGGGUAGAGGGAAUUCCCGGUGUAGCGGUGAAAUGCGUAGAGAUCGGGAAGAACAUCGGUGGCGAAAGCGCUCUACUGGACGGCAACUGACACUCAGGGACGAAAGCUAGGGGAGCGAAUGGGAUUAGAUACCCCAGUAGUCCUAGCUGUAAACGAUGGAUACUAGGUGUAGCUUGUAUCGACCCGAGCUGUGCCGAAGCUAACGCGUUAAGUAUCCCGCCUGGGGAGUACGCACGCAAGUGUGAAACUCAAAGGAAUUGACGGGGGCCCGCACAA